rnacentral:rRNA from 1 species
GACGAACGCUGGCGGCGCGCCUAACACAUGCAAGUCGAACGAGCGAGAGAGAGCUUGCUUUCUCAAGCGAGUGGCGAACGGGUGAGUAACGCGUGAGGAACCUGCCUCAAAGAGGGGGACAACAGUUGGAAACGACUGCUAAUACCGCAUAAGCCCACGACCCGGCAUCUGGUAGAGGGAAAAGGAGCAAUCCGCUUUGAGAUGGCCUCGCGUCCGAUUAGCUAGUUGGUGAGGUAACGGCCCACCAAGGCGACGAUCGGUAGCCGGACUGAGAGGUUGAACGGCCACAUUGGGACUGAGACACGGCCCAGACUCCUACGGGAGGCAGCAGUGGGGAAUAUUGCACAAUGGGGGAAACCCUGAUGCAGCGACGCCGCGUGGAGGAAGAAGGUCUUCGGAUUGUAAACUCCUGUUGUUGAGGAAGAUAAUGACGGUACUCAACAAGGAAGUGACGGCUAACUACGUG